GCCAUGCUAGUCGCACGAGUUCAGACUCGUGGCGAAUAGCUCAGUAACACGUGGCCAAACUACCCUUCGGAACACAAUACCCUCGGGAAACUGAGGCUAAUAGUGUAUACCAUACCACCACUGGAAUGAGUGGUAUGCCAAACGCUCCGGCGCCGAAGGAUGUGGCUGCGGCCGAUUAGGUAGACGGUGGGGUAACGGCCCACCGUGCCAAUAAUCGGUAUGGGUCAUGAGAGUGAGAACCCAGAGACGGAAUCUGAGACAAGAUUCCGGGCCCUACGGGGCGCAGCAGGCGCGAAACCUUUACACUGCACGACAGUGCGAUAGGGGGAUCCCAAGUGCACAGGCAUAGCGCCUGUGCUUUUCGGUACCGUAAGGUGGUACCAGAAUAAGGGCUGGGCAAGACCGGUGCCAGCCGCCGCGGUAAUACCGGCAGCCCAAGUGAUGGCCGAUCUUAUUGGGCCUAAAGCGUCCGUAGCUGGCCGCGCAAGUCCAUCGGGAAAUCCACCUGCUCAACAGGUGGGCGCCCGGUAGAAACUGCGUGGCUUGGGACCGGAAGGCGCGACGGGUACGUCCGGGGUAGGAGUGAAAUCCCGUAAUCCUGGACGGACCGCCGAUGGCGAAAGCACGUCGCGAGGACGGAUCCGACAGUGAGGGACGAAAGCCAGGGUCUCGAACCGGAUUAGAUACCCGGGUAGUCCUGGCCGUAAACAAUGUCUGCUAGGUGUGGCUCCCACUACGAGUGGGUGCUGUGCCGUAGGGAAGCCGCUAAGCAGACCGCCUGGGAAGUACGUCCGCAAGGAUGAAACUAAAGGAA
rnacentral:rRNA from 1 species